AUGCAUUUUCUCCUCCAGCGGCCAUGUUAACCAGGAAACCUUCGGCCGCCGCUCCCGCCGCCUACCCGACGGGUAAGGAGGGCCGGGGCCUCCGCGCCGCUCUCCCGCCCCGGGCCACCCUCGAGGCGCGGGCGUCGCUGCCCGCCGAAGCUGGAACAAAGUCUGCGCCGCGGCGGGGCAGCGCGGGGAGCUCCGGUCGGACGGCGCGCCCUCGCCUAGGCUCUGCUAGUGGAGGCCUCCGAGCCUGCCGGGCGGGGACGGCCCCGGGCCUCCUCCCGCCCGGGCUUGGCUGGGCCGUCGCCCUCUGCAGUCCAGUCCUUUUCCCGGCCUGCAACGUGGGGCUCCGAGCUCCGGCCCGCGGGGUCGCGAACACGCGCUUGGGCCCUACUGAACUUUGCAGCUGCCCGAGCACCGCCCGUGGGUGCGCGUUGGGGAUCCGCGUCCCAGGCGCCGUGUCGGCCCCCCCCCCCGACGGCGGUUUCUACAGUUGGGGCUCUGUCGUAGGGAGAGCGGGGUUUGCUGCCCAGAGGGGCGGCGCGGGGCGACGGGGCCUGGGUGACUCCCCCCUGACCCCCUUUUGUCUCCACCCGCGCGUGGUUCCCAGGCAGAGAAGGGGACAGCGCCAUUCGUCAGCUUCAGGCUUCCCCGGGGCUCGGCGCGGGGCCCCCUCGGAGCGGAGUGGGGUCCGGCCCGCCCUCCCCAACAGCCUGCCGCCUCUCCGGGCCAGCAACGCUGCCGCCGCAGCCCACAUGGUGAGACAGAGCCCGAGGGAGGCCUGGGGGACGGGGUGCGGGAGGUCCCGGGCAUCAACACUGGACUUGAGCGGUUCCGACGCCGGGAGAGGAGAGGUCCAAGAGCGAGUGUCUCCAUGCCCCUGGCCGGUGGCCACUCCUGGAUGCCGUCCUCCGUCUUUUGGGCGAGGAGGCCGAAGCUGCAGCCACAAAGGAAGAUCCGUGGCUUGGGUCCCCCACUCCCGCUCCGGAGCCCGCCCAUCCCUGCCCUCCUUUUCCUCUGAACUUCCUCCUUGCUGCUUUCCUUCUCUUUUCCCUCCUUUUUCGUCCUUGCUUCCCAGAGCUCCUUUCCCUGUCCGGAUAAACAUCCCUCCCCCGUCCACCACAUCGGGUAGUGGGUAUUUAUAGAAACAGAUCUGUGUUAGGGGACUGCCAGGCCGUCCUGCCUUUCUCUCCCGCUCUCCCUCUCUAAGUUCUUACUGAUGAAGUGGGCAGGGGCCAAGGAGGCAGCACAUUUCCACGCUCUGUGCUGGGAUCCGAGGCAGCUUUCUGGCAAUGCCCUGGGCCUUGCCAACUCCAUCAGGGACCCCAAGGGUGGCGGGCUCCCUGGAGCCCAGCGCUAAUGAGCGCUGAAGCCUCCAGCUUUGACCAGAUACACGUCCUCUGCCGGCCCGGCUACCAUCAGACAAGGUUGCUGGCGGCCCUUUUGUUUCUUACCUCGGGGUCUGUGUUGGCCUUAAAGGCUUUCGCCUGUUUCAGAGCCUUGGAAGGAAGCUGGGCUUUCAUCUGCCUAGAACAUGUGGACAGUGGCUUCUGGCAGUGACUCACGAGCUGUGGACUCAACAGAAACUUGUGUGACUCAACAGAAACUUCUGAGUGGCAGUGAUCACAUUCAGUCUACUCCCCUAUGCCCCAGCAUCUGACACAUGUCGGUCUUAAACUUUAUUCACCAAAUAUUCUGCUACAAACAGGUAAGAGAGACUGACAUUCAGGACAGUUGCAUAACUGACUCAGGGCUCCUCGUUUGGAAAUACCGAAGACAGGGCUUGAAUACAUACAUCCCUGUGGAAUACCAGUGCUGCAAAGACUCGAACUGACUCCUGCUCAACUCAAAUCGUGCCAAAUCACAGGUUCAACCCAGAACUGGGGGUUCAUCUCAUGGAAUUCCCAUCCAACAGAGGAUCGACUGGGACUUAAGGAGACCCCCUCAUGUCUAUUCAUUUCUCAAAGGGAAGAUUUGGCCAUUUAAAGCAGAAAGGUCUGAACUUGGCUCUCUUCCUUUUAUCAGCCAAGUCUACUCACUCUUCCCCAAGUCUAUGUUGCCCCUUACUGAGGGGUUAACUCAGAACCCCAACCCUUAGCACGGAGAGGCAGCCACAGCUAGACCCUGGCCCAGGCCAGCCUUUGUGCCCCACCCUUCAUGCCUGUCUUGGGAACAGUCAUCACCAGCAGAUCCCCCACCAUUGGGGGGAGGGUUUAUUGAGCUAUUGCUGGCCUGGCUUGCCCUUAUCAUUCAUGCCUUGCAUCCAAGCCCUGGCCCCAGAUCUGGCAAGAGAGGUCUGGUUUCCAAUUUGAAUGUAGUCUCAUGCCGGUUAGCCCCACUUUCUGGGGAAGCCAUUGACAGUGACCAGUGAAGACCAUUUCCUGGGCAUUUCUUAUUUCCUUUGUGUGUUUUCUCUUUUCUCUGUCCUCACUGCCUUCCUUGUAUUUGAGAAAAUGCAGAUUCCUAGGCCCCACUCUGAGACGGUCCGAUUCAGUGAAUGUGGGUUAUCUGUAUUUGGAAGAGCCUCUGGGAGAUCCCAAUGCAGAUGGUCCAGGAACUGAACUUUGGAAGGUUUUGACCUACACGACAAGGUCCAAACUCCUUCAUAUGUAUCUGUUUGCUUGGGCUGCCAAGGCUGGGUGGCUUAAAUAACAACAUCUGUUUUCUCCUAGUUGGGAGUUCAAGACCAGGGAUCAGUUGAUUCUGUUUUUGGUGAGAUCUCUUCCUGGCUUGCAGAUGGUACCUUUUCACGGGGUCCUUUCCUUGGUGUAUGUGCAAGAAGAGAUAGAUAGAGAUGAAAAUGGAAUAGAGAUAAAGAGAGGGAGAUAACCUCCUAAAUAAAUGAAAUAACCUCCUAAAUAAAUGGCCUUUGAAGCUCUAGAAACUUUCUCCUCUAUAAAUGCAUCUUCUAAAUAUACUUCUUCCAAAGUUGUGUUGUAGAAUUCAAAUAUGAUCAUGCUAUUUUUUCUAUGAAAACAAUAACAAAAAAACCCUUUGUUUCUUUCUCUAUAGACUACUACUACUGUUACUACAAUUUUCACCACUAGAUUUCCUUUUCCUAUGUAUAAACUGUAAUUACCACUACUAACUAUUGCUACUACUACUAUUAUUUCUAACAUUUACUGAACGUGUAUUAUGUGCCAGACAUAAAUGUAUACUGCUUAAAAACAU